AAGAAUUUUAUUAAUGUAUUUAUUUCUUUAUUUUUGUACCUGGAGAUAUAAAAAAGGUCUUCCAGAGCUUUUUGUCUCUGGUGACAUCCCGGAUCUCUUUCGUCAUGUUGAUCAGCCUGCCAGCCACAGGAGGGACACGACGGAAGUCCA